rnacentral:rRNA from 1 species
UGGGGAAUUUUGGACAAUGGGCGAAAGCCUGAUCCAGCCAUGCCGCGUGAGUGAAGAAGGCCUUCGGGUUGUAAAGCUCUUUUAGUCGGAAAGAAAGAGUUGCAAUGAAUAAUUGUGAUUUAUGACGGUACCGACAGAAAAAGCACCGGCUAACUACGUGCCAGCAGCCGCGGUAAUACGGAGGGUGCGAGCGCUAAUCGGAAUUACUGGGCGUAAAGGGUGCGCAGGCGGUCUUGCAAGUCAGAUGUGAAAGCCCCGGGCUUAACCUGGGAAUUGCGUUUGAAACUACAAGGCUAGAGUGCAGCAGAGGGGAGUGGAAUUCCAUGUGUAGCAGUGAAAUGCGUAGAGAUGUGGAAGAACACCGAUGGCGAAGGCAGCUCCCUGGGUUGACACUGACGCUCAUGCACGAAAGCGUGGGGAGCAAACA